rnacentral:lncRNA from 1 species
AGAAGGAGCUAUUGGGACAUAAAUUAUUAACUUUUUCGAACAAAACUACAUUUGUUGUGGACCUGGGAUUCCUGGAAGUGCCUAGGAGUGUCAUCUGAUGGAGAUUGUCAAAGCCAGUGGAUGAGCUGCGGACUGUUGUGUUUGAGAUGCUAAAAAAUGGAAGAGACACAAGGUAAGUCUUCUGUAGCAUCAGAUGGGGCUGAGGGACAGGAGGAGAAGGAUGAAGAGAACAGCGUGGAGCCUGACUCUACACCAGACCAUAUGGCUACACCCACAACUGUCAAAGCCCUGAUCUGUGGUGACAGAGGAGGAUUGUCUGUGGUUAAGUACAAGAUCACAGCCACUCCAGGGUACGUUUGACCUCUCACUGUGUGACCUCUGGCCUCACUUAACCUUGUCCUGAUUGACCUCUCU